AACGAACGCUGGCGGCGCGUCUUAAGCAUGCAAGUCGAACGGCAAGAGAGGAGCUUGCUUCUCUCCUAGAGUGGCGGACUGGUGAGGAACACGUGGGUAAUCUACCCUUAAGAUGGGGAUAGCUGCUAGAAAUAGCAGGUAAUACCGAAUACACUCGGCAUAUCACAAGAGGUGUUGAGGAAAGGAAGCUACGGCUUCGCUUGGGGAUGAGCUUGCGUCCCAUUAGCUAGUUGGUGAGGUAAAGGCCCACCAAGGCGACGAUGGGUAUCCGGCCUGAGAGGGUGAACGGACACAUUGGGACUGAGAUACGGCCCAAACUCCUACGGGAGGCAGCAGCUAAGAAUAUUCCGCAAUGGACGGAAGUCUGACGGAGCGACGCCGCGUGGAUGAAGAAGGCUGAAAAGUUGUAAAAUCCUUUUGUUGAUGAAGAAGAAGGGUGAGAGGGAAUGCUCAUCUGAUGACGGUAAUCGACGAAUAAGCCCCGGCUAAUUACGUG
rnacentral:rRNA from 1 species